UGGGGAGUGAGUGCAAGCGGUCUAAGCCACCAGGUUCUGAGCCUGGGCGUUCGUUGGUUCGAAUCCAACCUCCCCCGCCA
rnacentral:tRNA from 1 species